CAGGCGGCCAGGUCAGUCGAAUGUGAAAGCCCCCGGCUCAACUGGGGAAGGUCGUUCGAUACUGCCUGGCUCGAAGAUAGGAGAGGGAAGUGGAAUUUCAGGUGUAGUGGUGAAAUGCGUAGAUAUCUGAAGGAACACCAGUGGCGAAGGCGACUUUCUGGCCUAUUCUUGACGCUGAGGCGCGAAAGCUAGGGGAGCGAACG
rnacentral:rRNA from 1 species